GAUGAAGAACGUAGCGAAAUGCGAUACUUGGUGUGAAUUGCAGAAUCCCGUGAACCAUCGAGUCUUUGAACGCAAGUUGCGCCUCAAGCCAUUAGGUUGAGGGCACGUCUGCCUGGGCGUCACAUAUCGUUGCCUGAUGCCAGUUUCCUCGUGAUGGGCGACUGUGCAGGGCGAAUGAUGGCUUCCCGUGAGCAUUGUUGCCUCAUGGUUGGUUGAAAAUUGAGUCCUUGGUAGGGAGCGCCGUGAUAGAUGGUGGUUGAGUGACGAACGAGACCCAAUCAUGUGAGACCCCUACCGAAUUUGGCCUUCAUGACCCACAUGCGUCUUUGGAACGCUCAUGACGAGACCUCAGGUCAGGCGGGGCUACCCGCUGAGUUUAAGCAUAUCAAUAAGCGGAGGA
rnacentral:misc_RNA from 1 species